ACAGGUGCUGCAUGGCUGUCGUCAGCUCGUGUCGUGAGAUGUUGGGUUAAGUCCCGUAACGAGCGCAACCUGUCCUUAGUUACCAGCACGUUAUGGUGGGCACUCUAAGGAGACUGCCGGUGACAAACCGGAGGAAGGUGGGGAGUGACGUCAAGUCAUCAUGGCCCUUACGGCCUGGGCUACACACGUGCUACAAUGGUCGGUACAAAGGGUUGCCAAGCCGCGAGGUGGAGCUAAUCCCAUAAAACCGAUCGUAGUCCGGAUCGCAGUCUGCAACUCGACUGCGUGAAGUCGGAAUCGCUAGUAAUCGUGAAUCAGAAUGUCACGGUGAAUACGUUCCCGGGCCUU
rnacentral:rRNA from 1 species